GUUGUCCGGAAUUAUUGGGCGUAAAGAGCUCGUAGGCGGUCUGUCGCGUCUGCUGUGAAAACUCGGGGCUUAACCCCGGGCCUGCAGUGGGUACGGGCAGACUAGAGUGCGGUAGGGGAGACUGGAAUUCCUGGUGUAGCGGUGAAAUGCGCAGAUAUCAGGAGGAACACCUGUGGCGAAGGCGGGUCUCUGGGCCGUAACUGACGCUGAGGAGCGAAAGCAUGGGGAGCGAACAGG
rnacentral:rRNA from 1 species